AGUUGUUGCAGUUAAAAAGCUCGUAGUUGAAUUUCGGGGUUAGUAGGUUGGUCAUGCCUCUGGUAUGUACUGGUCUCACUGAUUCCUCCUUCCUGAUGAGCCGUAAUGCCAUUAAUUUGGUGUUGCGGGGAAUUUGGACUGUUACUUUGAAAAAAUUAGAGUGUUUAAAGCAGGCUUACGCUUGAAUACAUUAGCAUGGAAUAAUGAAAUAGGACGUUUGAUUCUAUUUUGUUGGUUUCUAGGAUCGACGUAAUGAUUAAUAGGGGUAGUUGGGGGCAUUAGUAUUCAAUUGUCAGAGGUGAAAUUCUUGGAUUUAUUGAAGACUAACUACUGCGAAAGCAUUUGCCAAGGAUGUUUUCAUUAAUCAAGAACGAAAGUUAGGGGAUCGAAGACGAUCAGAUACCGUCGUAGUCUUAACCAUAAACUAUGCCGACUAG
rnacentral:rRNA from 1 species